rnacentral:rRNA from 1 species
GUGCCAGCAGCCGCGGUAAUACGGAGGGUGCAAGCGUUGUCCGGAUUUAUUGGGUUUAAAGGGUGCGUAGGUGGCCCUGCAAGUCCGUGGUGAAAGCCUGCUGCUCAACAGCAGAACUGCCAUGGAUACUACAGGGCUUGAGUCCAGACGAGGUUGGCGGAAUGGAUGGUGUAGCGGUGAAAUGCAUAGAUACCAUCCAGAACCCCGAUUGCGUAGGCAGCUGACUAGGCUGGUACUGACACUGAGGCACGAAAGCGUGGGGAGCGAACAGGAUUAGAUACCCUUGUAGUCC